rnacentral:rRNA from 1 species
AGUCACUGACAUUAGAUACCCCCGUAGUCCUAACUGUAAACGAUGCGGACUUGGUGUUGGGGUGGCUUUGAGCUGCUUCAGUGCCGAAGGGAAACCGUGAAACGUGCCGCCUGGGAAGUACGGUCGCAAGGCUGAAACUUAAAGGAAUUGGCGGGGAGCACCACAACAGGUGGAGCCUGCGGUUUAAUUGGACUCAACGCCGGAAAUCUCACCGGAUAAGACAGCAGAAUGAUUGCCGGGCUGAAGACUCUGCAUGACUAGCUG